GACGAACGCUGGCGGCGUGCUUAACACAUGCAAGUCGAACGGUGAAGCGAGUGCUUGCACUCGUGGAUCAGUGGCGAACGGGUGAGUAACACGUGAGUAACCUGCCCAUCACUCUGGGAUAAGCACUGGAAACGGUGUCUAAUACUGGAUACGACCAACCCUUGCAUGGGGUGUUGGUGGAAAGAUUUAUCGGUGAUGGAUGGACUCGCGGCCUAUCAGCUUGUUGGCGGGGUAAUGGCCCACCAAGGCGACGACGGGUAGCCGGCCUGAGAGGGUGACCGGCCACACUGGGACUGAGACACGGACCAGACUCCUACGGGAGGCAGCAGUGGGGAAUAUUGCACAAUGGGCGAAAGCCUGAUGCAGCGACGCCGCGUGAGGGAUGACGGCCUUCGGGUUGUAAACCUCUUUCAGCAGGGAAGAAGCGAAAGUGACGGUACCUGCAGAAGAAGCACCGGCUAACUACGUG
rnacentral:rRNA from 1 species